rnacentral:sRNA from 1 species
CUGAGGGCACUGCAGGCUCAAUAUUCCUCUGCAGGCUCUGCCUGUGCUCGAGUCUGGCAGACACAGAGACACUUAAUCAGUCAAAGUCACCUCAUUUCGCGAGAAUAUGAAUAUAGUCUUUCUCUAGGUCUUCGUGCUUUUUUUGUUCUCCCCAAACCACCAUUUGAGAACACUGAUGGGCAAGCCACAGUAACAAACAAACUGAGAAGCAAUCGUGGGCUUUAACAUAGAAAGGUUUAUCACGGUCCCGAGUCAGCCAUCUCCUCCUCCUCUCUUCACCCUGAGACUCAGCCGCUAUAAAAAGAUGUCAUUCUGGAACAGAGUCAGAUGUGUACAGAAAGAAAAAGCAUGCAGCAACUCCUGGGCUAAUUCUGGAAGAGUCUGCCAGAAAUGAAUCAUUAUUUUCUUUCAGCCUUCAUGGGCCAAGGAAACCAUGUGCGCGGCUCACGCAUCAAUCCUGUAGUGCAGGAAAGGAAGGAAACCGGAAGGGGAGGAGUCUGGUCUUUCAUUAGAAGACAUUCGGUUUCUUUCCGCAUCAAACAGAACUGUGUGUUCCCUGAGGAAGGCGCGCAAGGGCUCCACUUCUCACCUACCCAGGCUCUGCUUCCAAAAUCAAGUCCAAGAUCUCACGGGUCUUUGAGUGGAUCUUCAGAAACAUCUAGAUCCAAAAAGCAAGGAUCAUAGUUUCCCUAGGAACACUGUUCAGGAAGCGAAGGAAGCAAUCCGAGAAGAGGAGCAGGUAACAGCCAGUAAGAGACCUACAAGGGCAGCCAGCGCUAAACCCUACUGGAAAAAUGGGGGUCAGCAAAGACCUGUGGGGCAGGAUGUCAGUCAGAGGCACAAGAUGGUCUUGGCUGAUUCUAAUCAGUCCAGAUUUGAGCAAACCCCGUUUCUGCUCUCGCUCCAGAGAGGAGAAAGUCGUGUCAACACGUAGCAAUCCAACCAGAAGAUGCCAGCUGAACCCCGAGGGCCUGAAUGUGACAGCUUAACUAUGAUGGCUAAACUCUUGGGUAGGCUUUUCCCACCAGACCAAGUCUGAAUGAUUAGCUCUUCUGUUUGGGUUUGAAAAGGAGUAGCCCUGGAAAAUACUUAAGGUCUGGCCUUUCCGGUCUCCUGUCAGGCUUUAAAGGAGGUUAAAGGGUGGCCGGCCUCAUCCCCACCCAAUGAAGGAGUGCUGAAGACAUUCUGCCUGACUCUCUUACGGUUAAGAGGUGCAAGCCCCUUGGGUUAAUAUGGUUUUUCUAAAUGUGUUACCACCGCUCUACAGUUCAGGUCUCCAGGGAAGCUUUCCAGCUUCC